rnacentral:rRNA from 1 species
UACGGAGGGUGCGAGCGUUGUCCGGAAUCAUUGGGCGUAAAGGGCGCGUAGGUGGCCCGGUCAGUCUUUGGUGAAAGCGCGGGGCUCAACCCUGCGUCGGCCAGGGAUACUGCCGCGGCUCGAGCACUGUAGAGGCAGGCGGAAUUCCGGGUGUAGCGGUGGAAUGCGUAGAGAUCCGGAAGAACUCCGGUGGCGAAGGCGGCAUACUGGACCACCACUGACGCUGAUGCGCGAAAGCCAGGGGAGCAAACGGG